UAUCCAACUGCCUACAGUGUGAAGGUGGAGGUAAAACACAUUCUUAGCUAUGUGGCCCUAAGAAAAUCACCUUCCCUCAUGGAGUCUGUUACCUCAUUUGUAAAGUGAAGGAUUUGACCUUGAAGAUUUCCAAACUUCCUAGUUUGAAUUCUCUAGGGAAGUGAGAUCAAAGCUGGACUUGGAAGAAGCCCUGUUGCGGCAGAAAUGAACCAGGUUUUGUGUAAGAGGAGAAAGAGGGAGUGCCAGGGAGAGGAGGAGGAGCAGAGCAUCCAGGAAACCCCAUUCUUGUUAAACAUGGGAAACAAGAGCCUGCUGAAAUGAAGAGCCAAGGUCAUCAGGGCAGAAAGAGAGCUGGUGGGAUACUCCCGAAGAUCCAGGACUCUGGUGGACCAGAGACUCAACUUCCGAUUUUCACCCUGGGUUGACUUGCCAGAACAAAACUGUCCCUCAGUGAGCAAACAACCGGUCUUCUCUGCACUCACAGAACUUGCAGUUCUCAGGGGCAAAUGCCUGGAGUCUUCCCUCUUCCCACAUCAGGUGGUCUGACUACUUCGGGAGAUCGCUGCCCCACAAAUGCCUCAAGGCACAAAAUCUGGAAGACUUGGCUCCUUGGUUUAGAAGCAGCACUGACUGAGACAUGAUUCUUUGGAAACAGACAAGGGAAAGAAAUGGAUUUGAAGAAUCCUCUAGUCCAGACGCAGAGGUGGAAAGGCGACCCCUUGUUGCGAUGGUGUGGACAGCU